AAACCAGCACCUCAAGUGGUCAGGAUGAUUAUUGGGCCUAAAGCAUCCGUAGCCGGCUUUGUCAGUUUUCGGUUAAAUCCAUACGCUCAACGUAUGGGCUGCCGGGAAUACUGCAAGGCUAGGGAGUGGGAGAGGUAGACGGUACUCGGUAGGAAGGGGUAAAAUCCUUUGAUCUAUUGAUGACCACCUGUGGCGAAGGCGGUCUACCAGAACACGUCCGACGGUGAGGGAUGAAAGCUGGGGGAGCAAACCGGAUUAGAUACCCGAGUAGUCC
rnacentral:rRNA from 1 species